CCUGGUUGUCCUGGGUUUACUUUUCCGCCUCCUGGAUAGUCUCCUUUGCAUUGCCCUCCCCAUUCCUGACCUUCCCCCUACGUUUGCCUAGCGGAGGGAAUUGUCUAAUGAGCUUCCCCUCUCCCCAGCCGCACGCCCUGCCCCGUGAAUCUUGGGGAGCCUUGGGGAGGAGAGGUGCUCACCUCCCCUGGGUUGGCUCCUCCUGCCACUCUGGCCUCGGGCCCCUUCCUUCUCAUGCAUGUGGCCCCUUCUACCUUCAGAGUUUGGAGGUGUUGGCAGAGGUAUUGCAGGAAACUUGUAUGGGUCUGCGAGAGACGAUCCGUGUUGGCCUUCUUCUAAACGUAAAGCAUUGAGUUGCUGACUAGAGAAUGACGCAUAUUCCUAAGCGUUGGGAUGGUGACUACAGGAUAUCUCGUUGCCAACCCUAUUAGACAAAUAAGCCCUUCUGAUCCGUGGGACCAUCAGACAUGUAGGAUCUAAUUCUUGAAAGAGUUGCUGCGCUUGUUAAGUGUUGGAUGCCAUCUGUUCAAAUCCAAAUGCUCUUCUCUGACGUUGAUUAUUGUUACUUAAUGUGGGGGAGAACGGAGUAAAACAGAAUCUUCCAUUGGCUGCCUUUGGACAAGGCCCAAGAAUGGCACCUGGUACCGUUUUUGAUGUUUUCGUUUUUCUUGACGGAGCCAUCACAUCUGGGGGAAUCAUAGAUUGCACGUAUUUACCAAAUGUGUCGUUUGCCUUCCUUAUCCACUAUUAGUUUUAAAAUUGACCACCGCAUCAGUCUUCUGCAGCUGAGAAUGUGAGUUCCCCGUUAGUGUGGUGGAAAAGCACAUUUCAAUGAAAGAAUUGCAUUUUGAAGUGCCAAGUGAAAGCACACAUGCUGGGAACAUUAGAACCUAGCAAGACAGGUCAGAAAAUGAUGUCAGAGGCCUUUAAUGGAAAUUAGAGAUGGGGGAAGUGGUGAUGCCUUUUGUCGAUUAAUUAGAAUAGCAAUGAUUGGAAACCUACUGCGGGGGGAGUGUAUUUCACCAAACAAAACUGUAAGAGACAAAACCUGCACUGUGACAGCAUGUGGACUGUGCCAAGUCAAUGAACUGUUAAACUUUCCUGUUCCUGUGCCAGUUGUGUAGAAUAAAAACGGACCCGGCGUAGUACUGGCCUGAGUCAGAAGUGGGCCAGUGACUACUGACACCCCAGGAUGAAAGCUUCAUUGACAGUCGGAAGCCGCGCAUUGCCCCCACCCAACCUUUAUGGGCAAAAGUAAACAGAGGGAAAGCUA